CCCCUCCGCUCCCACGAUCGUCAGACAGACCCUAUGAUUCGCGUGACCGCCAUUUUGCCCACAGUAUAGCCAACUGUACAGGGCUAACUGCUGCAGCUGCCUAGCUGCAUGGGCGAAUGCAAAUACGAAGACCGCAUUGUUGCUCAGCUGCUCAGACCAUUCGCCUCAAAUUAAUUAAUGGCCAAAAACUGAGACGCUCAAUUAAAUAUAACUGUGGGAACAAUGCGCCAGAGGAUGUUUCAGACAUUCAUCUUUAUCCUCCUAAUUCCCAGACUAUAUAAUUUGAAUGAAUUGACAGUACCGGCUAGUUACUAGACAACUCAGAUGAGAAAAUGUGCUAUGAAAUUAUGCCUCACAUAAGAGUUUUUUAAAUGUAUUUUAAGAGCAUUUUUCCCCUUAUUUUUCCCCAUCUGUCUGACAUGUUUGAAAAUAAUGACAAGGAGAUGCUUGAAGCAAUAUUAUCAGAGAUGUAUUUUAGCAAUAAGGAGAGUAUCAGCUCAAAAGACAACGAUCCCCUCUCAUCCUACAUUUCUCAUUUCAUCUCUCACUUCUAUUAUAUCCCGUCAUGGCAGAGUCGGUUACACCACAGCUUGGCGACUGGGUUCUAUACAUAUAGUUGUGUCCAAUGCCAUGGAAACCAGACGACCCACUAUGAGAGACCAAUGUGCAUGGUAAUGAGGCUAUUAUGGUCUGUCUGGAGUUCAUUGGGCCUGGGAAUCCCCAAUUACAGUCUGGGUGCGUGUGUGCGUGUGCGUGUGUGUGUGUGUGUGUGUGUGUGUGUGUGUGUGUGUGUGUGUGUGUGUGUGUGUGUGUGUGUGUGUGUGUGUGUGCGCAUGUGCCAAUGAGCGCCCACGCGUGUCUGUGAUGUGUGUGCAUUGCAUGUCUGUGUAUACGUGCAAAUAAGCGUGUGUGUGUCCGGGGCAUUUGAUUAACGAAAGCCCCUGUCUCUCUGUACAGUGAGUGAUUUGCAUACGGGGGAAUGUCCCAGACUGACACACACAUGCCUCAUAUGACACCGCCAGAUCACUCCUUCUAUUCCAGCCACAUUAACAGCUAUAAAACACAAUAUCACACACACACACACACACACACACACACACACACACACACACACACACACACACACACACACACACACACACACACACACACACACACACACACACACACACACACACACACACACACAGCACGAGGGAAACGAACAGCGGUGACAAGCCUUUCUACUUAGCGUACAGACACUCACCACCUCUACGGCAUGUUUACGAGGAAUUAGCUUUGUCAGCACCCACGCUUACUAAAUCAAGUGGAUAUGCAAAUGCUAUUAGCCUAGAUUUCCAUAUGGCGGGCAAGGUAACGGUCGCACAGAUGGUGCUAGAACAGAGACACCGCUGGCCGCCAUCUUUGGCAGAGGAACUGAGCGGUGGCCAUUUUGUCUGAGGCUGUGCCCGUCUGGAUGUAAACAACGGCGCUGUGUUACCGUGACUACGAUGGUAGCUUGGCACUAAAGCCUUAUAACAGACAGCUGGCACAUUCACCAAGAAAGAAGGGGUGUGAUGGAGACCCACCAUUACGGGCUAGUCCUAGUACAUAACACUACCAGACAAUAGCAGGGUACAGUGCAUAUGUAAGGAAAGAGAUACUCCUCGAGAGCAAUGCGGAUGUGUGGGUUAUGUGUUCGUUUUCUUCUCACAACCAUAUUAUGAUGGGGGCUAUACAGGUAUAAUUUUGUUUAUGUGAUUUUUAAAUUAGAGAGAAUUAUAGGGAAUUACAGGGAAUUGCUCAGUAUUGGAAAGAAGUACUGUCAGUGUGUGUAACAGUGGAAAAGUAUGUUCUUACCAGAUAAGAUACAGUGAGCUCCAAAAGUAUUGGGACAGUGACCCAUUUUUUGUUGUUUUGGAUCUGUACUCCAGCAUUUUGGAUUUGAAAUGACUAUGAUGUUAAAGUGCAGAUGUAAUGUGUCAUUUUGGAGUCACUUUUAUUGUAAAUAAGAAUAUAAUGUUUCUAAACACUUCUACAUUAAUGUGGAUGCUACCAUGAUUACGGAUAAUCCUGAAUGAAUCCUGAAUAAUGAUGAGUGAGAAAGUAACAUACACACAAAUGUUACCCCCCCCCAAAAAAAAUGCUAACCUCUGUUAUUGUAAUGGUGAAAGUUAAGCAUGACUUGGGGAUAUGAUAUUUAUGCAUCUGUAACAUUUUCACUCAUCAUUAUUCAGGAUUCAUUCAGGAUUAUUUGUAAUCACGUUAGCAUCCACAUUAAUGUAGAAGUGUUUAGAAACAUAUUAUUUUCUUAUUUACAAUAAAAGUGACUCCAAACAGACACAAUACAUUAUUUACCAUUCAUUUCUACUGGGCACAAAAUAAUCUCAAACACAACCAAAACAAACAGCAAAUGCAUCCAACAAGUUUGUAGAGUCCCAAGCUUGAUGUAAUCAUUGCGUGCUAGGAAUAUGGGAUCAAAUACUACACUUAUGACUACUUUAAUACACAUAUAAGUGAAUUUGUCCCAAUACUUACAAAAAGUGCUGUAAUUUUCAUCCGAUAUGGAUGAAAAUACCCUCAAAUUAAAGAUGACAGUCUGCACUUUAACCUCAUAGUCAUUGUAUCAUUUCAAAUCCAAAGUGCUGGAGUACAGAGCCAAAACGACAACAAAAAAAUGUGUCACGGUCCCAAUACUUUUGGCGCUCACUGUAUGCGUGUCUCUGCUGGUACUGUGUUCUUCAGGGAGUGUCUAGUCAUCUGUACUGCUCCUUUUCGUGGUCUUGUGUUGUCCAGGAUCCUUUUCGUGGUCUUGUGUUGUCCAGGAUCCUUUUCGUGGUCUUGUGUUGUCCAGGAUCCUUUUCGUCCAUUUUUUCUAGCUGGUCAGAAUGAAGGAACAGUGUUGAUUGGAGAUCUGACAUGGGUUUUACUGGGCCUGGGUUUUAGUCGUCUGUCUAUGGUCUUUGAUCAUGCCAAAUAAAAAAAGACAUUGGAAUUGAACAAUAAAGAGCCUAAUAAAAAUAUGUUUUAAAAAAUGUCAAUUUUAGUGGUUGUUGUGGUUUGUAUACUGCUUUGGAGGAAGCACACCAGUGUAAACUGUCUCUUUGUCAAAUGUAAAAGUGUCCCAGGGAAUAAGCAGUGAGUGGAUUUGAAGUCUGAAUCAAAAUGUGAACCCUUCUGCCAGCAUUUACACACAGCAACACAGGGAAGGUAGGGGAGUAUGUCAAUCUUAUUUUUAAGAAAAGAGAAAUAAAGAGAGGGAUAUCCCCUUAAGCAUUCUUUCAAAAAAAGAAACGAUAACUCAGGAGAGCGUGUAUCAUGUGUUGUUUGUUGGGAGGCCCCCUCCAGCAGCAGAACCACACACACCCAGUGCGGGUAGGGACCCAGGCCCAGUCUCAGGAACUUUGGCUGGGGCUGAGCAAGGUUGAGAUGGGCCUCUCCUCUGGAGGUCUUCAGGCCCCUAGGCUGUGGGCUAACAUUGUCUUCUCCAUAUUGAUUUAUUUUGCCGUUAGCUUCAGAGGUGCUGGUAACCAGCAGGGACUUCUUCCUGCAUUGCCAGCCCACUCACAAGCUCUGUUUUUGGGCCUCACUCACUCCAAAUGACCCUGUGAUGGGAGUAUAGACCAGGGGAGGAGAGAGGAGGACAAGAGCCCAUGGCGAUGAACGAAUGAACUGCCGCAUAGGGCCUGUCUCUGUUCAGUUGUCUACCCAGCCUUCAUCCUUCACUCCAUCCGCCCACUCUCUUUCUUUUUCUCAUCCUCCAUCUGUGAAAGGAGACAAAUACAGAGUUAUAUAUAUAUUUUUUACACUUCACCUUUAGCAUUCGACAUCUCUCCGCUUCAUGCAAAUGCAAAUGUUUUACACCAGCUCUUUGAUGUUGGAGAUGUGGAAAGCAAAUGCCAACUUGCGCUUUAGUAGCGUAGCCCCAAGACUACUAGACACAAACAAACUCUACAGAAAUGCAAAGACAGGGCGGUAACACAAUAGAUGCAUAAACCCACAGUAUGCCUUGCAUACGUUGAAUUUAUGUUCAUAAUAACAAAAUGGUAGAUGUUCAUUUCAAAGCAUUAUUGCCAUAUACAAUUUACUACACACUAAGAGUGAAAACAAAGCUUGCGCAUUUUUUGGUUUUAGUUUGAAUAAUAUACUGCAAUACCUUAUAUCACCAUCUGAUUAGUUAUAAUUUCAGUAUUCACACUAAUAUCUUCCUGAUAUUAUCCCCAAGGAUCCUAAAGUCUUCUGAAACCCCUGUCUCCUUGUCUCAGUCAUCCCUAAGGUUUCCUCAAGUCUUCUGAAACCCCUGUCUCAGUCAUCCCCAAGGUUUCCUCAAGUCUUCUGAAACCCCUGUCUCAGUCAUCCCCAAGGUUUCCUCAAGUCUUCUGAAACCCCUGUCUCAGUCAUCCCCAAGGUUUCCUCAUGUCUUCUGAAACCCCUGUCUCCCUGUCUCAGUCAUCCCCAAGGUUUCUUCAUGUCUUCUGAAACCCCUGUCUCCCUGUCUCAGUCAUCCUCAAGGUUUCCUCAAGUCUUCUGAAACCCCUGUCUCCCUGUCUCAGUCAUCCCCAAGGUUUCCUAAAGUCUUCUGAAACCCCUGUCUCAGUCAUCCCCAAGGUUUCCUCAAGUCUUCUGAAACCCCUGUCUCCCUGUCUCAGUCAUCCCCAAGGUUUCCUAAAGUCUUCUGAAACCCCUGUCUCCCUGUCUCAGUCAUCCCCAAGGUUUCCUCAUGUCUUCUGAAAACCCUGUCUCCUUGUCUCAGUCAUCCCCAAGGUUUCCUCAUGUCUUCUGAAACCCCUGUCUCAGUCAUCCCCAAGGUUUCCUCAAGUCUUCUGAAACCCCUGUCUCCUUGUCUCAGUCAUCCCCAAGGUUUCCUCAAGUCUUCUGAAACCCCUGUCUCCUUGUCUCAGUCAUCCCCAAGGAUUCCUCAAGUCUUCUGAAACCCCUGUCUCCUUGUCUCAGUCAUCCCCAAGGUUUCCUCAUGUCUUCUGAAACCCUUGUCUCAGUCAUCCCCAAGGUUUCCUAAAGUCUUCUGAAACCCCUGUCUCCCUGUCUCAGUCAUCCCUAAGGUUUUAGUUAACAUGUUGGUAAAAAAACAAGGUUGGUAGUGGUACGAAAGUAAUGGUUGACCUUGUAUUUCAGUAGAGGACUGGAGUACAGAACUCCUCUGUGUGCGUGUGGCUGUGUGGCCGUGUGUGUGUGUGUCCGUGUGUGUCCUUUGAAUUUCAGUGCAUGCUUAUGAGCGAGUGUGUUUGCCUCAGAUAGGAAAGAGUAGUGAGUGGGACCAGAUAGAUCAGGGGUGCAGCCACGAUGCCCUAUGCAGAGGGGGGUUAUGUGGAGGAAGAUUCCAGACACAAUGCUCCCAUUGAGAAGGUUCAGACAUGGGUGUUAACUCCCCAUUCCUCACCAGCAGAGGCGAGUGGGGUGGACAAUGUUAGUUCAGGGCAGCCUUCCACCAAGCACAGAGUAAAGGCACUGCAUUAUAAAGACAGGAGAGGAGAGAGAGAGAGAGGGAUGGAGAGUUGAAAGGAAAAUGGGGGAGGGAGAGAGAGAGAGAGAGAGAGAGGGGUGUGUUUGUGUAUGUGGAGAGAGAGAGGGGUGUGUUUGUGUAUGUGGAGAGAGAGAGAGAGAGAGAGAGAGAGAGAGAGAUACAGUGCUUGUCUGUGUGUCACCACUACAGGGAGGAGGUCAAAGACUUAGCAGUGUGUUGCCAGGACAACAACCUCUCCCUCAGUGUCAGUAAGACCAGGGAACUGAUCGUGGACUACAGGAGAAAGAGGGGAGAGUACGCACCCAUCCACAUCGACGGGGCUGUUGUGGAGCAGGUUGAGAGCUUCAAGUUCCUUGGUGUCCACAUCACUAAGGACUUAACAUAGUCCACACACAUCCUCACAGUGGUGAAGAGGGCACGACAGCACCUUUUCCCCCUCAGGAGAAAGAAAAGAUUUGGCAUGGGCCCUCAGAUCCUCAAAAAGUUCUACAGCUUCACCAUUGAGAGCAUCUUGACUGGCUGCAUCACCACUUGGUAUGGAAAAUACACUGCCCUUGACUGCAAAGUGCUACAGAGAGCAGUGCGGACAGCCCAGUAAAUCACUGGGGCCAAGCUCUCUGCCACCCAAGACCUCUAUACCAGUCGUUGUCAGAGGAAGGCCUGAAAAAUUGGCUAAGACUCCAGCCACCCAAGCCAUAGACUGUUCACUCUGCUACCGUCCGGCAAACGACACCGGAGCAUCAGCUCUCGGACCAACAGGGUCUGAGGCAACUUCUACCGCAAAGCCAUAAGUCUGCUAAAUAGCCAGUCUGCUAAAUAGCCAGACUGCUAAAUAGCCAGUCUGCUAAAUAGCCAGACUGCUAAAUAGCCAGUCUGCUAAAUAGCCAGACUGCUAAAAAGCCAGACUGCUAAAUAGCCAGACUGCUAAAUAGUCAAUUAAUGGUACUGACCCUACGCACACUAACUAUACAUACACAUCAAAUACACACUCACUAGACUAUAUAUACACACCAUAUACACAAUCACUAGACUAUAUAUACACACCAUAUAUACACUCACUAGACUACAUACACACUCACUAGACUAUAAACACACACUCACUAGACUAUAUAUACACACACUAUAUACACAAUCACUAGAAUAUAUAUACACCCUCACUAGACUAUAUAUACACACACUAUAUACACAAUCACUAGACUAUAUAUACACACUCAUUAGACUAUAUAUACACCCUCACUAGACUAUAUACACACUCACUAGACUAUAUAUACACACACUAUAUACACACUCACUAGACUAUAUAUACACACACUAUAUACACAAUCACUAGACUAUAUAUACACACCAUAUAUACACUCACUAGACUAUAUACACACUCACUAGACUAUAAACACACACUCACUAGACUAUAUAUACACACACACUACAUACACACUCACUAGACUAUAAACACACACUCACUAGACUAUAUAUACACACACACUAUAUACACACUCACUAGACUAUAUAUACACACUCACUAGACUAUAUAUACACCCUCACUAGACUAUAUACACACUCACUAGACUAUAUAUACACACACACUAUAUACACAAUCACUAGACUAUAUAUACACACUCACUAGACUAUAUAUACACCCUCACUAGACUAUAUACACACUCACUAGACUAUAUAUACACACUAUAUACACACUCACUAGACUAUACAUACACACUCACUAGACUAUAUAUUUAUAUACACACACUCAUUAGACUAUAUACACACUCACUAGACUAUAUACACACUCACUAUACUAUAUACACACUCACUAGACUAUAUACACACACUAUAUACACACUCACUAGACUAUACAUACAUACACACUCACUAGACUAUAUAUUUAUAUACAUACACUCACUAGACUAUAUAUACACACUCACUAGACUAUAUAUACACUCACCAGACUAUAUAUACACACUAUAUACACACUCAUUAGACUAUAAAUACACACAAUAUCAUAUACACACUCACUAGACAAUAUACACACACUCACUAGACUAUAUAUACACACUCACUAGACUAUAUAUACACACUCACUAGACUAUAUAUACACAAUCACUAGACUAUAUAUACACUCACUAGACUAUAUAUACACACUAUAUACACAAUCACUAGACUAUAUAUACACACUCACUAGACUAUAUAUACACUCACUAGACUAUAUAUACACACUAUAUACACACUCAUUAGACUAUAAAUACACACAAUAUGAUAUACACACACACUAGACAAUAUACACACACUCACUAGACUAUAUAUACACACUCACUAGACUAUAUAUACACACUCACUAGACUAUAUAUACACAAUCACUAGACUAUAUAUACACUCACUAGACUAUAUAUACACACUAUAUACACAAUCACUAGACUAUAUAUACACACUCACUAGACUAUAUAUACACUCACUAGACUAUAUAUACACACUAUAUACACACUCAUUAGACUAUAAAUACACACAAUAUUAUAUACACACACACUAGACAAUUUAAACACAAUCACUAGACUAUAUAUACACUCACUAGACUAUAAACACACUAUAUACACAAUCACUAGACUAUAUAUACACAAUCACUAGACUAUAUAUACACACUCACAAGACUAUAUAUACACACUAUAUACACAUUCACUAGACUAUAUACACACUCACUAGACUAUAUAUACACACUAUAUACACACUCAUUAGACUAUAUACACACACACAAUAUCAUAUACACACUCACUAGACUAUAUAUACAC
rnacentral:lncRNA from 1 species